rnacentral:rRNA from 1 species
CAGUAGCCACGGGAAUACGUAGGUGGCAAGCGUUGUCCGGAAUUAUUGGGCGUAAAGGGCUCGCAGGCGGUUUCUUAAGUCUGAUGUGAAAGCCCCCGGCUCAACCGGGGAGGGUCAUUGGAAACUGGGAAACUUGAGUGCAGAAGAGGAGAAUGGAAUUCCACGUGUAGCGGUGAAAUGCGUAGAGAUGUGGAGGAACACCAGUGGCGAAGGCGACUCUCUGGUCUGUAACUGACGCUGAGGAGCGAAAGCGUGGGGAGCGAACAGGAUUAGAUACCCCGGUAGUCCCUGUCUCUUAUAC